UUUAGUACAUAUUAUACACAAUUAUAGCAUUUAUAAAUACUUUGAAUUAGCGUUUAUAUUUGUAUUUUCAGUUUAAAGGUUUAUAGUAAUUUUGUUAUGUUCUUCUGUUCUUUAUAUAUAGUUAUGUUUAAUACUUCAGCUUAUCAGUAUUUGUUUUAUUGUAUUUCAGCUUUAUUUUAAAGGUACAAUUUGUAAGAUAUUUGCAGUAAAAUAUCCAAAAACCAGUAGGCUAGUGAUACAUAUUUUGUCCAGCUGAUUACUAACAACAUCUCUAAUGUUUUCAACUACUUGUUAAUCCUGAGAAAAUUCCCAUUCUAAACAGUGACACAGGGCAGUGCAGUCACCUGUCAAUGGCGUUAGUUACCCUUUGUUACCGCCUUUACUGACGUGAAAACCACAUGACAACAGUGUUGUGGACAAAUGCAGAAGUAGUAGUGUCUAGCAUUAAGCAAACCACUAGCUUGCUUCAAGCAGUUCCUUAUUAUUUACUUCUUCUUGCACGUUUUAUGGUGGAUUGUGUUACUUAUUUAUGGAACAUAAUUACUGUUUACCAUUUGCCUCUGGUUCUGUCGACAAGGACACCUCCCGUAAAUGAAAGUGUACGGGCCAACUAAAACAACGCAAGAAGAGUUUGGGACAAGAGGAGAGAAAGAGCGAGGAUCAAUAUCGGUGUUGCAUUUUCUAAAUGGAGAGAGCUUUGCGACAAACUUCAACUAAAGAGAUGUCGAUCUUGCUUGUGUUUUACUCGACAGGCCAACACAGGCUGCCUCUUCUAACCCCUGGAUAUCCAAUGUUCUUGAACAACAAAAAGGACACUAACCACUCAGGUUUCAGGAGUGGCCAACUGAGAAGGAAGUCAUGCAGGUUGCAAAAGCAGAUUACAAAUCAUUACUUCUUAUUCUGCUGGAUCUAUCUGCUGCUUUUGACAGUGUCAGUCAUCAGAUCCUCCUGUCCGCCCUCUCAUUUCUGGGCAUCACAGGGAUUCCACCUUGCUGGUUUAAAUCCGAUAUCACUGUUGAUCCAACUGUAGCUGCACGGAUCUCAGGCUGUCUGGCAGACAUCUCAGCAUGGAUGAAGAAACAUCACCUAAAGAUCAACCUGGCAAAGACUGAGCCUCUUGUCUUGUCUCUUGCCACUCCAUCCAGCUAGGUUCUUCUACAAUUAAUACAUCAACUUCAGUCAGAAUCUUGGUGUAAUCUUUGAUGACCAGCGGACCUUCAAAGACCACAUUGCAAAGGCUGCUCAAUCCUGGCAGGUUUGCACUGCACAACAUCAGAAAGAUCAGACCCUUUCUAACGGAGCUUGCUGCACAACUUCUUGUCUAGGCAUUGGUAUUUUGGUACCAUUGGUAUUGGUAUCUUGGUAUUUCUAGGCUGGACUACUGGAAUGCUCUUCUGGCUGGACUUCUAUCAAGCACAAUCAAACCUCUACAAAUGAUUCAUAAUGCAGCGGCAUGACUGGUCUUCAAUGAGUGUGAAAGAUCCACUAUGAGCCUGAGCAGAUCACAACAAAACAUGAUCAAACCUCAUUAAAGAGGAAAAAGACCAAAAAUGGUAUUCCAUGUAGAUUACAUCACAGGAGAUUCACAAAGGACAUAACUAAGCAUAAUCUUCUCAAACUGACAGAGGACAAUAUUCCACAACACCUUUACCAGGAUACAAUAACCCCACUAGACAAAACAUACACUGAAUUUAUAGGAGGUGGCCAGCACCAUGAAACAAAACAAGGGGAAAACAAAACAAUACACAUUUUCACAACAACAAAUUUGGAAUGAACAACACAUUUAGCUAAAUUUAGAGCCAUGGAUAAAUUUUAGUUAAUGAAAAAGAAUUCUAUUAGACAAAAAUCACAUUGAUCACUACAUCACAUUUCCCUAUGCCCCCUCUUAUACAUCACAGUUGCUAUAGUCUAAUUUCCUUUAGAAUUCACAUAAAACAGAACAACUUCCCGUUUGAAUCUCUUUGUCACUAGGCUGGUCCAUUCCCACAACACAACAGGUAUUAAACAUUUCAAGUCAUUCCAAGAAUGAACUUUAACAAAUUGCUAUGUUUGUAUAAAAUUACAUUUUAGCCAAAGAAGAAUUUUAACUGGUUUUAAUGUUUUAACCUUAAGCCAAAUAACUAAGCCCGUGCACUGACUCAGUACAAUGACAAAUAAAGAUCUUAAACCAAACCAAUAUAGUAAUGUCCUAUUACUUGAUCAACUGCAAAGAUGUAUAUAAGAAUUGUGUGGUUUAAAUCCAGGCCAUCACAAUGAGCGCAAAAGAGCCCAUGUUACAUCUUUCUUUAU